GACGAACGCUGGCGGCGUGCUUAACACAUGCAAGUCGAACGGAAAGGCCCUGCUUUUGUGGGGUGCUCGAGUGGCGAACGGGUGAGUAACACGUGAGUAACCUGCCCUUGACUUUGGGAUAACUUCAGGAAACUGGGGCUAAUACCGGAUAGGAGCUCCUGCUGCAUGGUGGGGGUUGGAAAGUUUCGGCGGUUGGGGAUGGACUCGCGGCUUAUCAGCUUGUUGGUGGGGUAGUGGCUUACCAAGGCUUUGACGGGUAGCCGGCCUGAGAGGGUGACCGGCCACAUUGGGACUGAGAUACGGCCCAGACUCCUACGGGACGCAGCAGUGGGGAAUAUUGCACAAUGGGCGGACGCCUGAUGCAGCAACGCCGCGUGCGGGAUGACGGCCUUCGGGUUGUAAACCGCUUUCGCCUGUGACGAAGCGUGAGUGACGGUAAUGGGUAAAGAAGCACCGGCUAACUACGUG
rnacentral:rRNA from 1 species